UUCCGUAGGUGAACCUGGCGGAAGGAUCAUUG
rnacentral:rRNA from 1 species